rnacentral:rRNA from 1 species
AAUAUUGGACAAUGGGCGAAAGCCUGAUCCAGCCAUGCCGCGUGAGUGAUGAAGGUCUUCGGAUCGUAAAGCUCUGUGGGAAGGGACGAAAAAGCCUAACCUAAUACGUUAGGUCUUGACGGUACCUUCUUAGCAAGCACCGGCUAAACUCCGUGCCAGCAGCCGCGGUAAUUCCAGCUCCAUGAAUUUAUAUCAAAAGUUGUUGUAGUUAAAAAGCUCGUAGUUGAAAUUAGAAAAAAGAAUGUUGAAAGAUUUUAUCUCUUUUCUGCUUUCUUUCUUCUUUAAAGAACAAAUGAGAUCUUUCUCUUUUGUUCAUUUUACCUUGAAUAAAUUUGAGUGCUUCAAACAAUUGAGAUUUGAUUCGUCAAAUCUAGAUUUUAUUUUGAAGAGUUUAGCAUGGAAUAAUUGAAAACGAUUGGUUGAUUCAGAGACACUUGUGUUUCUGGAUUUAAACUGAUAAUGAUGAAUAGGGAUGAUUUGGGAUAUGGAAAUUGGACAGCUAGAGGUGAAAUUCGCGGAUCU